rnacentral:misc_RNA from 1 species
GAUGAAGAACGCAGCGAAAUGCGAUAAGUAGUGUGAAUUGCAGAAUUCAGUGAAUCAUCGAAUCUUUGAACGCACAUUGCGCCCCUUGGUAUUCCAUGGGGCAUGCCUGUUCGAGCGUCAUUUGUACCUUCAAGCUUUGCUUGGUGUUGGGUGUUUGUCUCGCCUUUGCGUGUAGACUCGCCUUAAAAUAAUUGGCAGCCGGCGUAUUGAUUUCGGAGCGCAGUACAUCUCGCGCUUUGCACUCAUAACGACAGCGUCCAAAAGUACAUUUUACACUCUUGACCUCGGAUCAGGUUGGGAUACCCGCUGAACUUAAGCAUAUCAAUAAGCGGAGGA